UACGUAGGGGGCAAGCGUUGUCCGGAUUCAUUGGGCGUAAAGAGCGUGUAGGCGGCCAGGUAGGUCGGUUGUGAAAACUCGAGGCUCAACCUCGAGACGUCGGCGGAAACCAUCUGGCUAGAGUCCGGAAGAGGAGAGUGGAAUUCCUGGUGUAGCGGUGAAAUGCGCAGAUAUCAGGAAGAACACCCGUGGCGAAGGCGGCUCUCUGGGACGGUACUGACGCUGAGACGCGAAAGCGUGGGGAGCGAACAGG
rnacentral:rRNA from 1 species